AACGCACAUUGCGCCCUCUGGUAUUCCGGAGGGCAUGCCUGUUCGAGCGUCAUUGCAAACCCCUCAAGCACGGCUUGUGUGUUGGGCCAUCGUCCCCUAUGGACGGGCCUGAAAUGCAGUGGCAGCACCGAGUCCUGGUGUCUGAGUGUAUGGGAAUCUCUAUCGCUCAAAGACCCAAUCGGCGCUGAUGUCAGAUUUUUAUCCAGUUUGACCUCGGAUCAGGUAGGAGUACCCGCUGAACUUAA
rnacentral:misc_RNA from 1 species